UACGAAGGGGGCUAGCGUUGUUCGGAAUUACUGGGCGUAAAGGGCGCGUAGGCGGCGCAUCAAGUCAGGCGUGAAAGCCCUGGGCUCAACCCGGGAAUUGCGCUUGAGACUGGUGUGCUUGAGUACGGGAGAGGAUAGUGGAAUUCCCAGUGUAGAGGUGAAAUUCGUAGAUAUUGGGAAGAACACCAGUGGCGAAGGCGGCUAUCUGGACCGUAACUGACGCUGAGGCGCGAAAGCGUGGGGAGCAAACAGG
rnacentral:rRNA from 1 species